UACGAAGGGGGCUAGCGUUGUUCGGAAUCACUGGGCGUAAAGCGCACGUAGGCGGAUUUUUAAGUCAGGGGUGAAAUCCUGGAGCUCAACUCCAGAACUGCCUUUGAUACUGAAGAUCUUGAGUUCGGGAGAGGUGAGUGGAACUGCGAGUGUAGAGGUGAAAUUCGUAGGUAUUCGCAAGAACACCAGUGGCGAAGGCGGCUCACUGGCCCGAUACUGACGCUGAGGCACGAAAGCGUGGGGAGCAAACAGG
rnacentral:rRNA from 1 species